GCUGUUCCUUCAGUCCUUUGCAGCUUUUGAGCUCUCUAAACUAUUUGGGCAGAUGCGUUUUGACAUUUAGAGGAGCGGAGGUGUCUGUUUGCGGUAGGAACUUCGGGACCGGUCAAGGUUCAGCAGCAUGUAUAAUGGAAAAUACGCUUGUCUGAAGCUCUUUUUUUUCCAGGUGCAUUGCAUCUUCCUGGAAUUCCUGGCUUUAUUGAAGAUGGAACCUUGUUUUCUUCACCAGCGUUGCUGUAUGCUGUUUUCCCCACAGCUGACGGGAGGUACGACAAGGUCACAGGAGAUGCGGCGUAAACCAUCCGGGCCUCUGCAUCUCAAUAUGCAGGGCUGAAUGUCAGAUGAGUCUCAUCUCCUAAAGCAUUAGAUGCAGCGGGACGAGCUGUGUGCCAAAGGGCAACAGAGGAGAGGCGAGCGGAGCGCUGUAAGAAGGUGAUACCCGAGCCUCGACGUGGCAACCUGUAAACAGCAGAGGCGGUGCGGGCGAGCGGCCAAGAUGCUGCAAGAGGCUCAGAGGGGCGAAGCCGCAUGCUGAGGAGCGGUCCGAGAAGGCGCCAUGCAGGCAGCCUUUGGAAUUGGAUGAGCAUUUGAGGUGCCACAAGCGAUGACGGCCACAGCGUCCGACACUGGAAUUCCUGCGGAGCAGAUGAUGAAGAGGAACCUGGCAACUGCAGGAAUAUCCUGGUUCACUGGUG